GGAUUAGAUACCCUGGUAGUCCACACAGUAAACGAUGUAUACUCGCGGUUUGCGAUAUAUUGUAAGCCGCCAAGCGAAAGCAUUAAGUAUACCACCUGGGGAGUACGCCGGCAACGGUGAAACUCAAAGGAAUUGACGGGGGCCCGCACAAGCGGAGGAACAUGUGGUUUAAUUCGAUGAUACGCGAGGAACCUUACCCGGGCUUGAACUAAGAGUGACAGAUUUAGAGAUAGAUUUUUCUUCGGACACUCUUGGAGGUGCUGCAUGGUUGUCGUCAGCUCGUGCCG
rnacentral:rRNA from 1 species